rnacentral:sRNA from 1 species
GGUACCAAUAUGGGUUCUUCAUAGAACCCCCGUUUGAGCAAGGAAGAUGAAAGUAGUUGCAACCAUCAUUUGGCAUUCUUUAACUUUUUGCAGGGAGUAGUAAAGCAUAUUGAGUAAGGAGUUGUAGGUGUGAUAAAUCAUAGCUGCUACAACCAACAUCCCCCCGUGUUGUGCUGAAAUCCUCCUCCAACCAAUGCAUAAUGUCAGUGAUAGCAUUUGGUACUUCAUCAUUCGGAACCGUUCUUGAAGUUUCCCUUGAUCCUAUAUUAAGCUCUCCAGCCUAUACUGUGUGAUGGUAAUAGGAGUCAUGGCGGACAAUGAUCUUUUAUUUGGUUGAGUGAAACUAGUUGGAGCAGGACCGCUUUGGUGCACUCAAUACAACAAUAUACCCACAUAUCACAAGGAUAGUUGUAUCAUAUACCCACAUAAUCAUUUGUAGCUUUGCGUUUUUGAUAUAGUGCACUUAAUGUUUAUC